UGUGUAGACGGCUUUUUAAGUCAGCUGUUAAAUUUUCCGGCCUAACCGGAAGUCUGCGGUUGAAACUGAUUAGCUAGAGGAUGGAAGAGAGAAGUGGAAUUCUCGGAGUAGCGGUAAAAUGCGUAGAUCUCGAGAGGAACACCGAUGGCGAAGGCAGCUUCUUGGUCCACUCCUGACGUUGAGACACGAAAGCGUGGGUAGCAAACAGGAUUAGAUACCCUGGUAGUCC
rnacentral:rRNA from 1 species